GUUAAUUACCCAAUAAGCCUCGCCCCUGAUGAGACACAGCUGUAGCCAAUAAAGAUAAAUGUGAUAAAAGGGAGUGGGUGAGCUGGUGAGGGGGGAUUUAUGAAGGAGGAGGAACCUUGAGGAAGAGGGAAUGAGAGAAUCACGAAAGAAGAAGGAUCUUGAGGAGAGAGAAUCCCUGCAGUGAGAACCUGAAGAUGGGGGCUCUGUCUUGGUUCCACAACCCCUUGCAAACUGGGCUACCUGGUAGAACUGGGCCAUCCACAGCCUGACAUGGAGAAAUAAAAAAGCAGACAUGGCAGCUUGAGCUAGUUUUAAUUCAUCUUUAAGCAGAACUUAAUUACAAAUACUGAAUCUAAAGGCUCAGCAGGAGAUCAGACAAAGCUCAUGGAACAGAGGUUUCUGGAGUUCCCAGGACAUGUAUCCAGCUCAGGACAUGUAUUCCCAGGACAUGUAUCCAGCCCAGGAAGUCUCUGAGCUGCCAGUGCCUUCCAGCUGGAGGGUAACAGUCCCCAUUCUCCCCUGGACCCACUGCUGGCAGCAGUCACAGCAGGAUAAAGGUUCUGUGCCUCUUUGGGCAGAGCAGUGGCACCACUGGUUUUGCAAUACCUUCAGGCCAUAUGGGUGAUGGCUUUCAAGUUGUGCCACUCAGUAACUUGAGAAUGCUGGGAUGAGGAAUCCUGUUCCA
rnacentral:lncRNA from 1 species